GAGAUUCUUGAACAUCAGAAAUGU
rnacentral:piRNA from 1 species